GAUGAACGCUGGCGGCGUGCCUAAUACAUGCAAGUCGAGCGAACGGACGAGAAGCUUGCUUCUCUGAUGUUAGCGGCGGACGGGUGAGUAACACGUGGAUAACCUACCUAUAAGACUGGGAUAACUUCGGGAAACCGGAGCUAAAACCGGAUAAUUUUUUGAACCGCUUGGUUCAAAAGUGAAAGCGGGUUCCGCUGUCACUUUUAGAUGGAUCCGCGCUGCAUUAGCUAGUUGGUAAGGUAACGGCUUACCAAGGCAACGAUGCAUAGCCGACCUGAGAGGGUGAUCGGCCACACUGGAACUGAGACACGGUCCAGACUCCUACGGGAGGCAGCAGUAGGGAAUCUUCCGCAAUGGGCGAAAGCCUGACGGAGCAACGCCGCGUGAGUGAUGAAGGUCUUCGGAUCGUAAAACUCUGUUAUUAGGGAAGAACAUAUGUGUAAGUAACUGUGCACAUCUUGACGGUACCUAAUCAGAAAGCCACGGCUAACUACGUG
rnacentral:rRNA from 1 species